rnacentral:lncRNA from 1 species
AGCGGAACUCGCUUCCGAACCCCCUCGACUGCUGCAACGUCUGUGCAAAUGCCUGGUACUUGCGAAUGUCUGCGUCACUCACACUCCUGCGGGCAAACUUCAUCGAUUCCUCAAAAUGAGUAGCCUUGAUCUCUGCUACUUCAUCAGCCUCGUCUUCCUCCAUCGCCUCAGGAUUUUCACUCUUCUUCCUCUCUCUUUCAAUAUCCUGCAUGUUAGGAUAGAGAAAGCCAUUUUAAGCCUGAGAGUUUGGCCUAAUCAAUUUAGAAAAUUUUGUAGCAUCCGCAAGCAAUUAUAAUAUGAUGAAGAUAGUUGAUAUUCAUGCUGUCAAAGUGCUGGAGGUGGGCCUCUGUAGUGUAACAAGAGUUAUUUAACAAGACUUAAGGAGCUAAUAAGAACUAUAAGGCGAACGUAGAUAAAUGAUAUCAAGACACAGGUUUAUCUUUCUUGUAUAACAUGCACAAUUUGCAUCUUGACUAAUGAGAUCACAUAUGCAACAAAAUAAAUGUAUAUAUUACUUAGCAUCAGAGACAGAAUAAUAAGAUGAAAAUGGUAAUAUUUCUGAGACGUAUGACUUAGUAAACUAUUGAAUUAUCAAGUGGAUAUCCAAUACUUCCUCAAAAAAAGAGGAAAAAGUCAAUGCCCGAUACAUUCAGGCAGCCAUGCAGAUUUUCCAGGAGCCUACCGAAAAGAACUAUUAUUGCAGUUAAACUACUUUAAAAUACAGUCCCAGAAAUAUCUAAAAUGCUCAAGGUAUAUUAUAUUGAACCAAAGGAAAAGAAGAGACAAAUGAUGAUGCGCAGAAGCCUACCUUUUCAAUGUUUUCUCUAAUGGCAUACUUGCAUGCACGUUGGCAAAUUUCUGUAAUAUCGGCACCACUAAAUCCUUGAGUGUACUUGGCAAGAGCCCUCAGGUCAACAUCUUUCGAUACAGGAGACUUUCUCAGGCAAGCUUUGAAUAUUUGGUGACGAGAGGCCUCGUCUGGUAAAGGAAUAUAAAUCAAUUGGUCCAGACGGCCUGGGCGAAGUAAAGCAGGAUCUAUGAUGUCAGGCCUGUUGGUUGCCCCGAUAAUAAAGACGGUUUUCUUU